rnacentral:rRNA from 1 species
AGCUUAGUUUAUUUCACUAAGUAUAACCUGCUCACUGAGAAUUAAAAAGCCGCAGUAUUUUAACUGUGCUAAGGUAGCAUAAUCAUUUGUUACUUAAUUAGUAACUGGAAUGAAUGGGAGGACAAAUAAUUGACUUUUUUAGUUUAUUUAGAAAUUAAUAUAAGAGUUAAAAAGUUCUUUUGUCUUAGAAAGACGACAAGACCCUAAAACCUUUACUAGAGUUAGUUUUGCUGGGGCGGUAAACAGUAUAACGCGGGGGUUAAAAACACCGUGAAUGAGAUUAUCCAUCCUUAAAUUGAAUAAAAAAAGGUACUUUAGGGAUAACAGAACAAUCUCUGCUUAGAGUUCUUAUCGACGUAGAAGUUUAUCACCUCGAUGUUGAAUUGAGGAAACUUUAUGGGGCAGCACUCAUAAAAGUGAGUCUGUUCGACUUGUAUCCCCUCA